ACUCCCCUACGGGGGGGCAGCAGUGGGGAAUAUUGCACAAUGGGGGAAACCCUGAUGCAGCGACGCCGCGUGAGUGAAGAAGUAUUUCGGUAUGUAAAGCUCUAUCAGCAGGGAAGAAAAUGACGGUACCUGACUAAGAAGCCCCGGCUAACUACGUGCCAGCAGCCGCGGUAAUACGUAGGGGGCAAGCGUUAUCCGGAUUUACUGGGUGUAAAGGGGGCGCAGACGGCGAUGCAAGCCAGGAGUGAAAGCCCG
rnacentral:rRNA from 1 species